ACAAACUGGAACACUAAAUUUAAUAGAGAGUUUACUGUAGUCCACAAGAGAUGUCGUUUUGAACGUGUAAAUAAACAUGGCUCUCCGGCGCUUAAAUGUUUGUGUUUCGUUCUCAUGGAAAAUGAAGUAUUCUACCCACAGUGACCCCUUGGGCACAAAAUUAAAAGAACGGCAAGCCCAGAUGAUGAAGAAAGGUUUGCCGGUCAAAAAACCAAUCGAAGGCGUAAAGAAUGUCAUACUUGUCGCCUCCGGUAAAGGUGGUGUUGGCAAAUCCACUGUGGCAGUCAAUCUUGCCCUUGCACUGAGUCGGCACUUACCUACACAAGAUGUUGGUCUGCUAGAUGCAGAUAUAUUUGGGCCUUCUAUACCGACUAUGAUGAAUCUCUCUGGUAACCCCUCAUUAACCGAGAAAAACCUUAUCAAACCACUUGUGAACUACAAUAUCAAAUGCAUGUCAAUGGGAUUUUUAGUUGACAACAAUGCUCCAGUUGUUUGGAGAGGUCUCAUGGUAAUGUCAGCCAUUGAGAAACUCCUACGCCAGGUAGAUUGGUCGCCAUUAGAUUACUUGAUAAUAGAUAUGCCUCCUGGCACGGGCGAUACCCAACUAUCCAUAGCUCAAAAUAUCCCAGUGGCGGGAGCCGUUGUCGUCACCACCCCACAGGAAAUUGCAUUAAUCGAUGCUCGGAAAGGGGCGUUGAUGUUUGAAAAAGUGGGAAUACCUGUCCUGGGUCUAGUCAACAACAUGGCUUCGUAUUCGUGCCCCAACUGUGGUCAUCAUAGUCAUAUUUUUGGUGCCACGGGCGCCGAGAAACUCGGCAAAGAAAUCGGUGUAGAUGUCUUGGUGGACAUACCGUUAGACACCUCUAUAAUGGAGGCUGCUGACGGUGGCUAUCCGAUUGUUAUCUCUUCUGCAAGCAAUAAUCCCUUGGUCCAGGCGUACAUGUCGUUAGCCGAAAAGGUUCUUAGUCGAUUGAGUGCUAUUAAGAAUGAGCCGAGCCGGUGAAAGAAAUAAGAGAGAUACAGCGAGGCACUGAGAGUCAAAGGAGAGAUUACGUGUUGCGACUAGACAUCGGCUUCGUCACGUGACCUUUUUAUCGUUUUCAAACUGUAUGCCAUCCCCCAUAAGCUCGAGAAGAAAAAAAAAUUGGGAAAACAAUACAAUUAUUAGGAAAAAGGAAAAUUGUUCUAAUUAAAAACAUUGCUGGACGAUAAAAAAUAACAUGGAGAAAAUCGGUUGAGUCGAUCAUGGGGAAAAAAGAGGGAUCCACCCAUAAUCAUGGAAUAUUUCAGUUCCUUUCUUUCUUUCCCCUUUUUUUGUGUGUGUUUUGAAGAAGGUAUUUGAAGAGGUCAUCGUGAGAUCAGCAAAAAGAAAAAGAGAGCCAAAAAAUGUAAACAAAAAAAUUUCAAAAUAAAAUUCAAAAACUAGUUCGUGGGAGGAAGUUUCUUUCUUUCUUCUCUGUAUCGUAUAGGAACACCAGUAAAGUAUAGUAACAAGGGCCGGGGUGGGGAGGAGAUAACACACACAUCGCACACACAAAAAAAGAAGAAGAUACAAUGCGAAGGAUCCAUCCCCAUUCUUUCACCUCUCCCGUGUGGAACACACACAUACACACACACACACACUAAAAUUCUGUACAGUGAUAACUCAUCGUCCGUACGGAUAAGAGUAGAAAGAAGGAGGAGGCAAACGGUUGGUGUUAAUAUUUGUUGUUGUUUUGUAAAUUAAUAUGAUUCACAUUUCCAAGGAUUCCCGACAAUAUUAAAAAUGACUGCUAAAAAAGGAAGAAAAAAAAAAGGAAUGUUUCUGUUAGUUGCAUCUAAAAGUCCCGUCACCAUCGUUAGUAGCGCUGCGGGUUAAUUGGAUGAUUCCCAUAUGACAAUGCUUCCGAGUUAGUUGAAUGCUUUUUUUUUUUUUGUUUAUUCAUUUUUCUUCCUUUUUUUUUUUUCUUUUCCUGACUUGUUUAUUUUUAAAUCCUGGUUCGUUGGUUUUGGUUUCGUCUUCCAUCGUUACGAAUUUCUUUCUUUUUCCUUUCUUUUUUUAUUCUUACGUAAUGUACAAUCGAGUCUCUUUUUUGUUUUGUUUUCUCUCGUUAGUCGGACUGUGUGAGUGUUUUUCUUGGGAGGUGGGAAACUAAGAAUUUGCUGAUGAGGAAUAUUAACGCUCCGGUGGACGUUCAACCACAUAGGGUCUCUUCCGUUCCCGACAGGAUUUUUUGUGAACAGGCCAGUCCUUUUGUUGGCAAUAGGUCCCGCAGUAUCUGGCUUCCUGUAAAUAUAAACCAAGUGGUGCGAGGCGAAAGGGAAAAAGAACAAGAACAAAAAAAUUAAGUUUUGGGCCAGAGAAUGCAGACAAGAGAUUCAACGUGUCAGUCUCUUUCUGGAUUGUUCUUACUCUUUGAGCUAUGUGUGACAAAGGGACUUGACAUACCUGACACCGUCCGCAAAUAGAGAAUUCUCUCAGCUCGCGUUCCAUAUUCGUGCACGGCGGGUAGUGGCAUUCGUAGUAGCAGAAGGUAUCGUCUUCGUCGUCAAUCACCUCGCCAUUGACAUUAUAAUAACGCGUAACUCCCAGCUCGCCAAAAUGCUAACGAUCCAAUUGAUUUCGUUUGAUUAGUACAUUUUCGAAAUUGGUGGCCAACUGCGUGCACGUUACCUCUUCGACCGGAUCGGCAGGUAAUUGUUGUAUGGCAGCCCAGUAAAGCGAAUGUUCCCUGGUGGUUGUCGGUGUUGUGUUGACGCUAAGGUCGUCACAGUGAUGUUGGACGCUGGUGGCCGACGUCGUCGUCGUCACGGUAGCGCGAUGGACAAUGUUGUGUUGGCGACCGCUAGAUGGAAGCGCCGUCCCUUUGGCCACCAAAUUCAAAUUUUCUAGGCGAUUAUCCACCGUAACGCCGUUGCGGUGAACGACUUGAAAACCUGGCGCUAUACCUCCACAGUGUCUCUCCC
rnacentral:misc_RNA from 1 species